ensembl:snRNA U6 U6 spliceosomal RNA
GCGCUUGCUACAGGAGCACAUAUACUAAAAUUGGAAUGAUCACAGAGAUUUGCAUGGCCCCUACACAGGGAUGAUACGCAAAUUCAUGAAGCAGUCCAUAUUUUU